AACGAACGCUGGCGGCAGGCUUAACACAUGCAAGUCGAGCGCCCCGCAAGGGGAGCGGCGCACGGGUGAGUAACGCGUGGGAAUUUACCCCGGGGCUGGGGAUAACGGCGGGAAACUGCCGCUAAUACCCGGGACGGCUUGAGAGGGGAAGGAGCAAUACGCCCUGGGAGGAGCCCGCGUCGGAUUAGCUAGUUGGUGGGGUAAGAGCCUACCAAGGCGACGAUCCAUAGCUGGUCUGAGAGGAUGAUCAGCCACACUGGGACUGAGACACGGCCCAGACUCCUACGGGAGGCAGCAGUGGGGAAUAUUGGACAAUGGGCGAAAGCCUGAUCCAGCCAUGCCGCGUGAGUGAAGAAGGCCUUAGGGUUGUAAAGCUCUUUCGACGGGGACGAUGAUGACGGUACCCGUAGAAGAAGCUCCGGCUAACUUCGUGCCAGCCGCCGCCGUAACAC
rnacentral:rRNA from 1 species